UACCCCUCAAAGAAGUGAUCACUAGUGCUUCUGCUUCCUUUGUAAAUGCCCUUCCGCUCGAUCGCAAUUUCCUCUCCCUCAUAACAUUUCAGUUCCUGCACUUGCUGUUUCUGGAAGAGUAAUUACAUUACGAUCUUCACUCUAUUGCUUUUUCAAUUCCGAGGCUUGCUGUUUUAGGAAGAGGGAUGAACAACAACUCCUACUCCUCCUACUCCUCCUCAGGUGAGUGCAUUUUUGCUUAUUCUAUUCGAUUGCUGUUUCUCUUCCCCCACUAAUUUCUGUAGAGAGUUGGAUCGCACGUUACUGUACUGUAUAAGCUAGCUCAGAAGAGAAGAUUGUCAAAUUCUUAUAUUUAGUAUUAAAUUCAUGUCUGAAACUAAUGUGGGCUUCUUUUUGUUUUUUUUAAACUGUACGACAGGCUCACCGCAGUUUGUCCCUCUAAACUUGCCGGUUGGAUGGAGAUUCCACCCGUCCGAUGAAGAACUGGUUGAUCAUUAUUUGAAGCGGAAGAGGCGUGGUGAUCCUAUAGACGGCUUGGACAUCGGCGAGGUUCAAAUAUGCGAUUAUGAUCCCAAGGAUCUUCCAG
rnacentral:lncRNA from 1 species